CUGUAUCUUCAGCUUUGAGAACUGAAUUCCAUGGGUUGUUUUUGUAUCACACCUAUGAAACUCAGUUCUUCAGCUGGGAUAUCUCUG
rfam:Sarcophilus harrisii ctg7180002507096, whole genome shotgun sequence.